GCCUCCGUGGCGAAAUGGUAGACGCGGCAGACUCAAAAUCUGUUGCCCGAAAGGGCGUGUUGGUUCGAGUCCGACCGGGGGCACCA
rnacentral:tRNA from 1 species